rnacentral:rRNA from 1 species
GUAGGGAAUCUUCCGCAAUGGGCGAAAGCCUGACGGAGCAACGCCGCGUGAGUGAUGAAGGUCUUCGGAUCGUAAAACUCUGUUAUUAGGGAAGAACAAGUGCGUAGGUAACUAUGCGCACCUUGACGGUACCUAAUCAGAAAGCCACGGCUAACUACGUGCCAGCAGCCGCGGUAAUACGUAGGUGGCAAGCGUUAUCCGGAAUUAUUGGGCGUAAAGCGCGCGUAGGCGGUUUUUUAAGUCUGAUGUGAAAGCCCACGGCUCAACCGUGGAGGGUCAUUGGAAACUGGAAAACUUGAGUGCAGAAGAGGAAAGUGGAAUUCCAUGUGUAGCGGUGAAAUGCGCAGAGAUAUGGAGGAACACCAGUGGCGAAGGCGACUUUCUGGUCUGCAACUGACGCUGAUGUGCGAAAGCGUGGGGAUCAAACAGGAUUAGAAACCCGAGUAGUCC